AACGACUCUCGACAACGGAUAUCUCGGCUCUCGCAUCGAUGAAGAACGUAGCGAAAUGCGAUACUUGGUGUGAAUUGCAGAAUCCCGUGAACCAUCGAGUCUUUGAACGCAAGUUGCGCCCGAAGCCACUAGGUUGAGGGCACGUCUGCCUGGGUGUCACAC
rnacentral:rRNA from 1 species